AUACGUAGGGUGCGAGCGUUGUCCGGAAUUACUGGGCGUAAAGAGCUCGUAGGUGGUUUGUCGCGUCGUCUGUGAAAUUCCGGGGCUUAACUCCGGGCGUGCAGGCGAUACGGGCAUAACUUGAGUACUGUAGGGGAGACUGGAAUUCCUGGUGUAGCGGUGAAAUGCGCAGAAAUCAGGAGGAACACCGGUGGCGAAGGCGGGUCGCUGGGCAGUAACGGACCCUGGGGAGCGAAAGCAUGGGUAGCGAACAGAAUUGGUUCCCCUGGGAGUCCAUGCCGUAAACGUUGGGCGCUAGGUGUAGGGGCCUGCCCCGACUUCGGCUCCGUAGCUAACGCAUUAAGCGCCCCGCCUGGGGAGUACGGCCGCAAGGCUAAAACUCAAAUGAAUUGGCGGGG
rnacentral:rRNA from 1 species